rfam:Populus trichocarpa scaffold_7_contig_182, whole genome shotgun sequence.
UGGGUUGCAAUGAUAAUAAGAUCAAUUCCUCGUACUGAAUAAUGCUCAAUUGGGCAUGACAGACUCCUUGCACCCAUAGAAUCUGAGCUCC